UACGAAGGGGGCUAGCGUUGCUCGGAAUUACUGGGCGUAAAGCGCACGUAGGCGGCUUUCUAAGUCGGGGGUGAAAUCCUGGAGCUCAACUCCAGAACUGCCUUCGAUACUGGAGAGCUCGAGUCCGGGAGAGGUGAGUGGAACUGCGAGUGUAGAGGUGAAAUUCGUAGAUAUUCGCAAGAACACCAGUGGCGAAGGCGGCCGACUGGUCCGGUUCUGACGCUGAGGCGCGAAAGCGUGGGGAGCAAACAGG
rnacentral:rRNA from 1 species